GACGAACGCUGGCGGCGUGCCUAAUACAUGCAAGUCGAACGCAGUGGCGGACGGGUGAGUAACACGUGGGUAACUACCCAUCAGAGGGGGAUAACACUUGGAAACGAUAGCUAAUACCGCAUACUAGUAGAUGGACCUGCGUUGUAUUAGCUAGUAGGUAGGGUAAUGGCCUACCUAGGCGACGAUACAUAGCCGACCUUAGAGGGUGGUCCGACACACUGGGACUGAGACACGGCCCCGGCUCCUACGGGAUGCAGCAGUAGGGAAUCUUCGGCAAUGGGGGGAACCCUGACCGAGCAAAGCCGCGUUAGUGAAGAAGGUUUUCGGAUCGUAAAGCUCUGUUGUUAAGGAAGCGGUACUUAACCAGAAAGGGACGGCUAACUACGUGCCAGCAGCCGCGGUAAUAC
rnacentral:rRNA from 1 species